rnacentral:sRNA from 1 species
CCAUCUGGUAUCAUAGACAAGACAGCGC